UUGUCUUAAAUUUUACAAAACAAUUUGGCAAUUAAAUUUAUAUAAAUAUAUAAUUCUGGAGGCUGUAGAUUUAUAUCCGAACAGAUAGAUAUUAAAUCCAAUCACACUUAGUUUGAAUCUUCAAAUUUUUAUAAAUUACAGCAUGAUUCGCUCAUUGAAAAUGGCGGCACAAAGUUGUCCAUAUAUUGGAUGCUGUGUAUUUAGAAUCGAAAACGCAGAGUAAAACUUUAAAAAUAAUAAAAAUGGCGAAGGUGAAAACGCUGCUGAGAGCGUCUCUGCCGCCCUCUCUGCUUCCUCAUCCAUCUCCUGGAAGCCUUCAGUCUACUCGCCUUGCUGCCCAUAUGGGUGGGGAAGGCUCUUAUUGCUGCAUAUACAUUGCAUCUGGUGGCAACGUAUACACAGCUCAGAUAUCAAUGACAGGCAAUAUGGUUCUACAAGGAAAGGAGAGCUUAUUAAUUCCAAUGCAUACGCAGGUUAUGGCAGCAUCAGGGGUUUACCGUUGUCCCCAUCGUGCAGAAAUUCAAAGUGUUGCACUUUCUAAUGCUUCUUGUGAUGGGCAGUUUUUGCUGGGUACGGUGGACUCUUAUGGCAACAUCAUUGUAUCUGCACUGGAGUCAGAUGCUGAAGAUGCUGAACGAAUAACAUAUACAGCUUCACCCCAGGAUUCUGGAGUUGGGGAAGGUGGUUGGGCAGGGAUCAACUUCAAUCCUAGUCAAAAUUCUAUGGUGGCAGUUGCACGCAGCCUUUGUAAAAGCAUUGAUCUCUAUGAUAGGGAUAUACACAUUCGUACUUUACAUACAAUUGUGAUUAUCGCCUGUAGCUGGUCAACAAAUAAUAUAUUAUCUAUUGCCAGGCAAUUCGGAUUGUGGCACCCAACAUCUUUGUGCUUUUUGACCAGUUCCUAUUUUGGUGAGGGCAACUCUUCUGUUUUAGCUGUCACAGAGGGAUCUCAUUUGAGCAUCUGGGAUUUGAGAACAAAUCAACAAGGAGGUUGUGUACAACGAGUGUCAGGAUCUUCUGGGGAUCCCUUGUAUGCAGUCUGUAGUUCCUCCUAUGGUUUUGUAGGAACUGGUGGAGCUGAGCGAUCUGCUGUUAUCUUUGAUCACCGUAGGUGGUCAAUUUUAUCCAGGUGGACUGGCUGUCUGAAAUAUGAGAUUACUGGUCUUAUGUUUUCAGAUGUUAAUCCUGAUUUCCUUUAUGUUCAUGGAUUGGAUUAUGAGGUGACUAAGCUGUUGGUGAGGGUGAUGGUGAUAAAAUUGUGAUGGGAUAUAUAUAUAUAUACGAGGCAAUGAAUAGGGCCAAAGAGGCCAUCCAACACUAUUAUAGGGGGGAUGCAAAGAUUUGCCCCUUUUCAGGACAUCAUUGAUCAAAGGUAGAACAAUCAACUCCAACCCAUUCAUGCAGUGGGGUACUUUCUCAACCUCAAGUUCUACUUCUUUGGUAGCUUCACGGAUGCUAAUGGGGAGGUUAUGGAGGGCCUAUUCACAUGUAUUGAGAGGAUGACACCUAAAUGCAACAAGAGACCUCAUCCUUUUAGAGUUGCAGAAUUACAAGACAGCUAGGGGGAAAUUUUAUUCUUCCAACUCAUGUAUAUGAGGAAGAGAGAUCCGAACACCAAGUUCUUGGUUGAAAGAUUUUUGUGGAAAUACCCCAAAUUUGCAAAAGCUAGCCCUUCGAAUUGUCUCAACCUUGUGCUUUUGGCUGUGAGCGCAACUAGAGUUUGUUUGAUGCCAUUCACACGAAAAAGUGUUGUUUGUGGGAGAUGGAGAGGAAAGCCUCAACGCAGCUUUUCCUUUCGUGGUGACUCUAGUUGGUUGGGCUUCAAUAAGUGUUCAAAUUUGGAUGU